rnacentral:rRNA from 1 species
UACGUAGGUGGCGAGCGUUGUCCGGAUUUAUUGGGCGUAAAGCGCGCGCAGGCGGUCGCGUAAGUCUGCUGUGAAAUCUCCCUGGCUCAACCGGGAGGGGGCGGCGGAGACUGCGGGACUGGAGGGACCUAGAGGCCGGUGGAAUUCCCGGUGUAGUGGUGAAAUACGUAGAGAUUGGGAAGAACACCAGUGGCGAAGGCGGCUAUCUGGACGGUUUCUGACGCUAAGACGCGAAAGCGUGGGGAGCAAACAGG